CGCGCGCCGCGCCCGCGCUCUUUGCCUGCGGGCCCGCCUCCGACGGAAAAAGGCCUGUGUCAUAUCAACACUUAUCUAGCAGCAUGCUACAAAAGAGAAACUAUGAGAAUUUUAUUGGGAAUGCACAUUAUCGACCAAAUGAUAAAAAAACUUGAUUUCCUCUUUAGGGUAAGAAAGGUGCCGAUGGAUGUGUGUACUGUCCAUGAAAUUGAGUUAGUCUAUCCUUUGAGAAGGCCGAUGGCGGAAGCUCUCGGAAUAAGCUGUGACCGUGCCACGCGUGUGACGUACCAGGAACACUACGGUUUUGUAACGUUCUGUUAACUUUUGUACCAAAUAGCAAUAAAAACUAUAGUUGGAACAGUUGGGUUGUACACGAAUGGAGACCGGCAAUCUGGUUUGUCCCUGAAUAGUAUUUUUUUUAGAAUUGACCAAAUAGGAAGAGGGGUCUUUUGCCUACUUGAUGCUGUUGAACGGAAACCAUGCGGGGGGUGGGGUGGGGGGGAGAGUCUCUAACGCUUGCGCCUCAGGUAACUCUGCACAUACGUAAGUUCGGGACCUGCUUGUCCAGAGACCACGCGUCCCCUUUUUCUCUCGUGGAACCCGUCCCCUCGAGCAGAUCCUGCUCCUUGUGCUCUUUCUUUGAAAAUGUACGUUGAAAAAAAAAAAUUCCUCAAUGAUUUGUAUUAUGUUAAAUCCUCCUCCGUCUACUGUCUUAAAUUUGUUAACGGAAGUAUCGACCCUCUAUGAGCAUGUGCCGCGUGUACUGAGGUCGGCCAUUCUGAAUCGGGUGCCCUUUUGUUGCAAAGUUGCAGUCUGUCACCUGAGGAAGGGUCCAGAUCCGUGACCCUUUGCUGAGAACGGCGUGCGCUCAGUCGGGAUUUUAAAGCGUCAGUGUCAACAGAGAAGGGUGUCCUCUGUGGGGACAGCCCCGCGUCCAGCAAACAGAUGGAAUUCAAUGUGGACUGACUUGAAUUUAUUUUCUAUCAAGUUCAUCCUUUUGUUGGAAAAUUCAGGUUUCUUUUUUUUGGCUUUCGCUUACAUUAGAAUGUAAAAAACACAAAACACAUAUACCGGGAGCAGUUUUAAAGGACAUGAAAGUGUCUGGGUAAAUUUUAGGUUUGUAUCUGGAAGUCCUGGCGUGCCUGGCGUUUGGGCUCACUGCAGCCGUAUUCGAGUUAAUUACAGACCCGUUGACCCUGAGCAAGGGACUGCCGGCCGAGCCCUCUGGUAAUGGGGGGACUCGGUCUGGUCCUUGACCUCAGCGGCCUUCCUGUUUUUGGUGGUUUUCAGCAACCAGAUGCAGUUUGGGUUUUAGAGGGAGGAUGGCCACCAGCUGUUUUAGACUUUUGUUCCCUUUCAGAUGCUGUCCGAGGCUGGGUUUGCUCAGCAGUCCGCAGGGUUAGCGACCACAAAUGUUUUAUUGAUACAACGGUUUCAAAAAGAAAUUUGCACUGUUAAGUUCUUGCCCCGCCCUUCUUCGUUAGAGCAAGAGUAAAGUCCUAAAAGAAACCGGAUUUUUUGGUUUCGUUUUCAUUAUGCAACAUGGAAGCUUAACUUGAUGGAGAAGUCUCAACUCGUGGGGGGGUGGGGGGCUGACGGGUCGGGGGUCUGCCGGCACGCCAGGGGGCGCUCUGUACCAGGAGCGUGCACACCAUCCACCCGAUUUCCUGUUCACAAGCUGAGCCAUAUGUAUAUAACCUAGAUGUUUGUUUUCCAUAGUUUUGCACUUUUAUAGCCUAUUUUUGAAGAGUAACACAUUUGCAAGAUGAUUGACUUGAUCUUUGCCUAAUCCAAUGAGCGUUACAGGAAGCUUGCUGUGACUCUAAAUGUAAAUCUUUAAAAGGGGAUACGAGAUAAUAGAGGGCUGAAAUUUAAACCUGUAUUUAAAAAAAAAAUCACCAAAUCUAUUUGAAAACAAGUCAGUUCAUGUCAUGCUGAAAUUUUGGGGGCUUUCAGAUGUCUCUUUUCUAACCACAUUUCUCAAUUUCUGAAUACAUAAAAUGUCCUUUCUUUUUUCCACAGCUCUUGUCCUCCAAAUUUUUAUUUUAUUUUUUUGGUCCAUCAGUAUUAACUAUUGGGAUACUACUGGUUUUGUAUGUUUUUUUUUCCUUUGAGACAACAGUACAUAUAAUAGAGGUACAAUCGUUGGAUUUUUGUUUAUGUAUUUAUUGCAUUCCAGUUUGAUUUAUUUUAAUUGUUGAUACUUGUCAAACAAUAGACAUUACUUGUUUUAUUUAUGAUGUAUUUCAGCUUAAAGUUAUGUUAUUAUAUGUGGAUGUAAAUAUAGAUUUGGUGUUUUGCA